CAGAACUUUCCAUGCCUGGACUGUGAGGGUGUGCAAAGCCAGGGGGUCCUUGGCCUCCUGAGAGGCACCAGCUCCAGCUGCUGUUUUGUUAUUAAUUAUUGCACUGAGAUUUAAUUAUUUUAAGCAUUGAGACAUCUGAGGCUCUGCCGUGGGGAAUGUGGAGGGAGGAAAGCUGGUCUGACCCCGUGAGGGUGGGGUGGAGCUGGGAAGGAAUUCCCAGCUCAGGAUUUGUGAGUUCCAGAGUGGCUCCAGGGUGGUCAGACAGGGAAUUUUCCCUGACAGGCCCAUUUGUGGGGUCAUCCCAGCAAGGUGGCACUGGGUGAGCUCUAAGGUCCUUUCCAAGUCAUCCUGUGAUUCCAUGAUUUCCCAUAACUCAUCAGGAAGUUUCCACCCUGGGCACAACCCAAGCUGGGAAUUGCUGGAGGAUUUUUUUUCAAAGCUCUACUAACAAUGGUACUUUUCUACUUGGGAUGAUUCCAGGCUGUGAAGUUCCAAAGCCCCCAGGGAAUAAGGGAUUAUCCCUUGUUCUCACCUUGCUGAGGGCUGGGGCUCUUGGUAUGGACCAUUCUCCCACCUUUUCCAUGCACAAGCUCCUGGUGUGCUCAAGGGUGAUGCUUCAAGGAGCUGGUUUGCUCAGGGGACACUUGUCCAUCCAGCUGGGAAUUCCUGAGGCCCCCAGCAGCUCCCAGGAAGGGGGAGCUGGGGAGGUGCAGCACCACAAGUGGAAGUGGUUGAGGAGUUCCAGGUUUGUCCUUGGAGGUAGCUCGUGGAAGGGUUGUGUUCUUGGAUGUGACUCUUAAACUGGAGAUUUCUGGGUAAAAAAAACCUCAGGACUAGAGAUUAAUCCAUGUUGAAAGGGAGACAAACUUCUUGUUUCAAGGCACCAGGGAUGAGGAUCCACCUCCUUCCAGAACAACAAUAUUCCUCUGAAUUCAUUUGCCACAAACAGAAAUCAAAACUCUGCCUCAAGGAGCAGAAUGCUCCGAACUCCAGGAAUUAAUCAGCUUUUGUUUUCCUGGAAGGAUUUAAGCAGGACUUACUAAAUCUCUUAUCAGCUCUCACAGGUUCCUGUGCUGAGUACAUAAAACAUGCUCAGGAUGUGAGUUCACCCUCCCAGGAGUACUGGGAAUUGUGGUUCAGCCCUGGUAAUUCCGUGUGCUCGAGGAAAACGGUCCCAAGAAGUGCUUUGUAAAGCUCAGGUUGGCAGCCUGGGAUGGUUUCCCAUUAGGUUAAUUACUUUCAUUUUAAUUACCUACUAUGAAUCCAGCAAGAAGCAGUUGCUGGGCCUGGAUUCUGUCCCAAAUCAACGCUGCCCAUUGCUCUUGG